rnacentral:lncRNA from 1 species
GGAAAGUUUGACUGGAAAUAUAAAUGAUGUUGUUCAUCAUGCAGAUAGCUUGGGCGAAAAAGAGGUUGGUGAAAUGGACAAUGAUACUAACUCUGCUGAAAAC